GCCUCGCCAACAGCGGGCACGAGAAGCGCGUCAGGGCCGGGAAGG
rnacentral:SRP_RNA from 1 species